rnacentral:tRNA from 1 species
GCGCUCGUAGCUCAGUUGGAUAGAGUACAGCCCUCCGAAGGCUGGGGUCGUGGGUUCGAAUCCCGCCGAGCGCGCCA